rnacentral:rRNA from 1 species
CCCCUAGAUGUUCUGGGCCGCACGCGCGCUACACUGAACAGUUCAACAAGUCUUAACCUUGGCCGAUAGGUCUGGGUAAUCUUUGAACGCUGUUCGUGACUGGGAUAGACCUUUGCAAUUAUGGGUCUUCAACGAGGAAUUCCUAGUAAACGCAAGUCAUCAGCUUGCAUUGAUUACGUCCCUGCCCUUUGUACACACCGCCCGUCGCACCUACCGAUUGAAUGGUCCGGUGAAAUCUCGGGACGGCGGCUCGGUCGCUUGCGUCCGACUGCUGAAACUUGAUUAAACCAUAUCAUUUAGAGGAAGGUGAAGUCGUAACA